AUCAUUAGUACAACCUGCUCCAUGAAAAUUAAAUAGCCGCAGAAUAUUUACUGUGCUAAGGUAGCAUAAUCAUUAGCCUUUUAAUUGAGGGCUCGAAUGAAAGGUUAAACAAUUUAAUUACUUUUUUAUUUAAAAUUAUCUAAAUUUUACUAAAUAUAAAAAUAUAUUUAUAAAAUUAUUAGACGACAAGACCCUAUUGAACUUUACUAAAGUUAAGCUGGGGCAGCUGAUUAAUUAAAAUUUUAAUUUUUAAAUUUAAAUAAAUGACCCAAUAUAAUUGAUUACUUGAAUUAAGUUACCAUAGGGAUAACAGCGUAAUUUAUUUUUAAAGCUCAUAUUAAAAAAAAAGAUUGCGACCUCGAUGUUGAAUUAUUGUUUCAAUUAAACGCAACAGUAUAAAUUGUAGGUCUGUUCGACCUCUAAAACAAUACGUGAUC
rnacentral:rRNA from 1 species